rnacentral:rRNA from 1 species
AGUGAACGCUGGCGGUAGGCCUAACACAUGCAAGUCGAACGGCAGCACAGUAAGAGCUUGCUCUUACGGGUGGCGAGUGGCGGACGGGUGAGGAAUACAUCGGAAUCUACUUUUUCGUGGGGGAUAACGUAGGGAAAAUUACGCUAAUACCGCAUACGACCUACGGGUGAAAGCAGGGGAUCUUCGGACCUUGCGCGAGUGAAUGAGCCGAUGUCGGAUUAGCUAGUUGGCGGGGUAAAGGCCCACCAAGGCGACGAUCCGUAGCUGGUCUGAGAGGAUGAUCAGCCACACUGGAACUGAGACACGGUCCAGACUCCUACGGGAGGCAGCAGUGGGGAAUAUUGGACAAUGGGCGCAAGCCUGAUCCAGCCAUACCGCGUGGGUGAAGAAGGCCUUCGGGUUGUAAAGCCCUUUUGUUGGGAAAGAAAAGCAGCAGGUUAAUACCCCGCUGUUCUGACGGUACCCAAAGAAUAAGCACCGGCUAACUUCGUG